rnacentral:rRNA from 1 species
AGGACGAACGCUGGCGGCGUGCCUAAUGCAUGCAAGUCGCACGCACGGAGCUUGCUCCGUGAGUGGCGCACGGCUGAGGAUCACGUGGGAACAUGCCUCCUUGUGGGGGACAACGACCGCGAAAGCGGUGCUAAUCCCGCAUACGCUCGGCAACGAGGAAAGCGGUAACGCGCAGGGAGAGUGGCCCGCGGCCCAUCAGGUCGUAGGUGGGGUAAUGGCCUACCUAGCCGAUGGACGGGUAGCUGGUCUGGUAGAGGACAGACCAGCCAGACUGGGACUGACGACACGGCCCAAGACCUCCGUAACGGGAGCAGCAGCAAGGUAAUUUUCGACAA